AGGGAGGUGAUGAUCCUUUCCUUAUGAGAUCAACUAUGAUUAUACCGUGCUUUUUCUUCUCUUAUUUCGGGAGAAAUCGAGCUAGGGAUUCUGAUCCUA